rnacentral:rRNA from 1 species
CUGCAACCCGACCGCACGAAGCUGGAAUCGCUAGUAAUCGCGAAUCAGAAUGUCGCGGUGAAUACGUUCCCGGGUCUUGUACACACCGCCCGUCACACCAUGGGAGUCAGUAACGCCCGAAGCCGGUGACCCAACCAAGAAUGGAGGGAGCCGUCGAAGGUGGGACCGAUAACUGGGGUGAAGUCGUAACAAGGUACC